rnacentral:tRNA from 1 species
UGGCUGAGUGGUAAAGCGCUUAGAUUCUGAAUCGGAGGUUCCGGGUUCAAAUCCUGG